rnacentral:rRNA from 1 species
UGGGGAAUAUUGGACAAUGGGCGAAAGCCUGAUCCAGCGACGCCGCGUGGGUGAAGAAGGCCUUCGGGUUGUAAAGCCCUUUAAGCCGGGACGAAAAAGCUGCACCUAACACGUGCGGCCUUGACGGUACCGGAAGAAUAAGCACCGGCUAACUUCGUGCCAGCAGCCGCGGUAAUACGAAGGGUGCAAGCGUUAAUCGGAAUUACUGGGCGUAAAGGGUGCGUAGGCGGUUGUUUAAGUCUGCCGUGAAAUCCCCGGGCUCAACCUGGGAAUGGCGGUGGAUACUGGGCAGCUAGAGUGUGUCAGAGGAUGGUGGAAUUCCCGGUGUAGCGGUGAAAUGCGUAGAGAUCGGGAGGAACAUCAGUGGCGAAGGCGGCCAUCUGGGACAACACUGACGCUGAAGUACGAAAGCGUGGGGAGCAAA